GAUGAACGCCGGCGGUGUGCCUAAUACAUGCAAGUUGUACGCAAUGGCCCAACUGAUUGAUGGUGCUUGCACCUGAUUGACGAUGGAUCACCAGUGAGUGGCGGACGGGUGAGUAACACGUAGGUAACCUGCCCCGGAGCGGGGGAUAACAUUUGGAAACAGAUGCUAAUACCGCAUAACAACAAAAGCCACAUGGCUUUUGUUUGAAAGAUGGCUUUGGCUAUCACUCUGGGAUGGACCUGCGGUGCAUUAGCUAGUUGGUAAGGUAACGGCUUACCAAGGCGAUGAUGCAUAGCCGAGUUGAGAGACUGAUCGGCCACAAUGGAACUGAGACACGGUCCAUACUCCUACGGGAGGCAGCAGUAGGGAAUUUUCCACAAUGGGCGCAAGCCUGAUGGAGCAACACCGCGUGAGUGAAGAAGGGUUUCGGCUCGUAAAGCUCUGUUGUUGGAGAAGAACGUGCGUGAGAGUAACUGUUCA
rnacentral:rRNA from 1 species